UACGAAGGGGGCUAGCGUUGCUCGGAAUCACUGGGCGUAAAGGGUGCGUAGGCGGCCAACUAAGUCGGACGUGAAAUCCCCAGGCUCAACCUGGGAACUGCGUCCGAUACUGGAUGGCUUGAAUCCGGGAGAGGGAUGCAGAAUUCCAGGUGUAGCGGUGAAAUGCGUAGAUAUCUGGAGGAAUACCGGUGGCGAAGGCGGCAUCCUGGACCGGCAUUGACGCUGAGGAGCGAAAGCCAGGGGAGCAAACGGG
rnacentral:rRNA from 1 species